ACUCCUUUAAGAAUAUUGUUGAAAACCCUGUUCUUAUCAGCUUAAUAUCUGUUACGGGUGCCAUGCGCACCCGGGAUAUUAAAGCAAUUUCUGCACGCCGGCGCCGUGAAGGGGCUCGCUCCUCCGGUGCCGCGGGUUGUCCCGGCAUUGCACUGCCGUCGGGCUCAGCCCUGUUCCC
rnacentral:snRNA from 1 species